ensembl:snoRNA
CAGCCAGCCAGGGAGUCUGCUUACCUAAAUGUGUUUAAGCAGAGAUUUAGAUAAGGCUGACAAUAAUUGUGCUAUAUGAUAAGAGCCUAAAGGACAACCAGAGUCGUUCAGGGCCCUGAGAAUGGCUACAACU